rnacentral:rRNA from 1 species
CACCGGCAGCUCUAGUGGUAGCAGUUUUUAUUGGGCCCUAAAGCGUCCGUAGCCGGUUUAAUAAGUCUCUGGUGAAAUCCUGUAGCUUAACUGUGGGAAUUGCUGGAGAUACUAUUAGACUUGAGACCGGGAGAGGUUAGAGGUACUCCCAGGGUAGAGGUGAAAUUCUGUAAUCCUGGGAGGACCGCCUGUUGCGAAGGCGUCUAACUGGAACGGUUCUGACGGUGAGGGACGAAAGUUAGGGGCGCGAACCGGAUUAGAUACCCCCGUAGUCC